UGGGGAAUCUUGCACAAUGGGGGAAACCCUGAUGCAGCGACGCCGCGUGAGUGAUGAAGCCCUUCGGGGUGUAAAGCUCUUUCGGCAGGGACGAUAAUGACGGUACCUGCAGAAGAAGCUGCGGCUAACUACGUGCCAGCAGCCGCGGUAAUACGUAGGCAGCAAGCGUUGUUCGGAAUUACUGGGCGUAAAGAGUGCGUAGGCGGUUUGGCAAGUUUGGUGUGAAAUCUCCUGGCUUAACUGGGAGGGUGCGCCGAAAACUGUCAGGCUAGAGUGUGGGAGAGGAAAGCGGAAUUCCUGGUGUAGCGGUGAAAUGCGUAGAUAUCAGGAGGAACACCUGCGGUGUAGACGGCUUUCUGGACCACUACUGACGCUGAGGCACGAAAGCGUGGGGAGCAAACAGGAUUAGAUACCCUGGUAGUCCACGCCCUAAACGAUGCGGACUUGGUGUUGGCCCUUCAUUGGUCAGUGCCGCAGUUAACGCGGUAAGUCCGCCGCCUGGGGAGUACGGUCGCAAGGCUGAAACUCAAAUGAUUGACGGGGUCAUAGCUGUUUCCUG
rnacentral:rRNA from 1 species